rnacentral:tRNA from 1 species
UCUCUGUUAGUAUAUCGGUUAGUACACGCGCCUGUCAUUUGAACCGACCGCGCGAAAGCGGGGUUCGACUCCCCGACAGAGAG